GUGGCGGUGGUGGUGGUGGGGGCGCGAUGGUGGCGCUGCCCGGACGGGGAAGGGGGGCGGCCGCGGUGGUGGUGGUGGAAGGGGAAGGGAUGGCCGCGGUGGCGAUGGUGGAAGAGGAUGGGGCUGGUGCGGGGUGUGCGAUGGUGGAAAGGGCGGUGCGGUGGCGGCGGCGGCUGGAGGUAGGGAAUGACCCCGACAGGUGGGGCCCACCUGCCAGAGAGAAGGAGAGAAGGGAGAGGGAGUGACGUCCUGCUGGGCCUGUUGGGCUGGAAUUUUUUUUUCUUUAACAAUUUUUUUAUGAAAAAAUUGAAUAAAACCGUAAAAACAGCAGAAAAUUUUAAAAAUGAGAUAAAAUAAAAAUAAAAUCAGGAAAUAUUAUUAUGUCUUUUACAUGUAAUUUUAUUCAUAAUUAUUAUUUUAUAAAUAAUUGUUAUUCUUUUUGU
rnacentral:lncRNA from 1 species